GAGAUACAGGCAGAGUAAGUGAGAGACAGAGGACUUAGUUUUUACUCUAUAACUCUUGCUUUGACAAUGUAAAUGUAUGUCUCCCAUAUCAAUAAAGCUCCACUGAAAUUGAAAAUUGAGGAGAGACAGACAGACAGAGAGUACUAUCUUUUCUCUUUA